UACGUAGGGGGCAAGCGUUGUCCGGAUUUAUUGGGCGUAAAGAGCGUGUAGGCGGCCAGGUAGGUCUGCUGUGAAAACUCGAGGCUCAACCUCGAGACGUCGGCGGAAACCAUCUGGCUAGAGUCCGGAAGAGGAGAGUGGAAUUCCUGGUGUAGCGGUGAAAUGCGUAGAUAUCUGGAGGAACACCGGUGGCGAAGGCGGCAUCCUGGACCGAGAUUGACGCUGAGGCGCGAAAGCCAGGGGAGCAAACGGG
rnacentral:rRNA from 1 species